AAAGAAAGUAAGCAAGGGCGCAUGGCGGAUGCCUUGGCUCUCGGAGGCGAUGAAGGACGUGAUAAGCUGCGAUAAGCUCUGGUAGGUGCAAAUAACCUUUGAUCCAGAGAUUUCCGAAUGGGACAACCCGGCAUUCUGAAGGAAUGUCAUCCAUCUUUGAUGGAAGCUAACGCAGGGAACUGAAACAUCUUAGUACCUGUAGGAAAAGAAAAUAAUAAUGAUUCCCCUAGUAGUGGCGAGCGAACGGGGAAUAGCCCAAACCACCCAUGUUACGGCAUGUGUGGGGUUGUAGGACCACGAUGUCGCAAGACAUUUGAUGAGUAGAAUCCUCUGGAAAGUGGAACCAUAGACGGUGAUAGUCCGGUAUACGAAGUCAAAUUAAGCGUAGUGGUAUCCUGAGUAGCGCGGGACACGAGAAAUCUUGCGUGAAUCUGCCGGGACCAUCCGGUAAGGCUAAAUACUCCCGAGAGACCGAUAGCGAACCAGUACUGUGAAGGAAAGGUGAAAAGCACUUCGAAUAGAAGAGUGAAAUAGUCCCUGAAACCGUGCGCCUACAAGCGGUCGGAGCUGCGUAAGCAGUGACGGCGUGCCUUUUGCAUAAUGAACCUACGAGUUACUUUUUCCGGCAAGGUUAAGCAUCUUGAGAUG
rnacentral:rRNA from 1 species